ACGCUGGCGGUAGGCUUAACACAUGCAAGUCGUGCGAGAAAGUAUCUUCGGAUAUGAGUAGAGCGGCGGACGGGUGAGUAACGCGUAGGAAUCUACCUAGUAGAAGGGGAUAGCCCGGGGAAACCCGGAUUAAUACCGUAUACCUCCUUCGGGAGAAAGAAGGCCUCUCUUUGAAGCUUUCGCUACUAGAUGAGCCUGCGUAAGAUUAGCUUGUUGGUGAGGUAAAGGCUCACCAAGGCUACGAUCUUUAGCUGGUCUGAGAGGACGAUCAGCCACAUUGGGACUGAGACACGGCCCAGACUCCUACGGGAGGCAGCAGUGGGGAAUAUUGGACAAUGGGCGCAAGCCUGAUCCAGCCAUACCGCGUGUGUGAAGAAGGCCUUCGGGUUGUAAAGCACUUUAAGCAGGGAGAAAAAGUUAUAAGUUAAUACCUUAUAACCCUGAUGUUACCUGCAGAAUAAGCACCGGCUAAUUCCGUGCCAGCAGCCGCGGUAAUACGGAAGGUGCAAGCGUUAAUCGGAAUUACUGGGCGUAAAGCGCGCGUAGGUGGUUUGUUAAGUUGGAUGUGAAAGCCCUGGGCUCAACCUAGGAACUGCAUCCAAAACUAACUCACUAGAGUACGAUAGAGGGAGGUAGAAUUCAUAGUGUAGCGGUGGAAUGCGUAGAUAUUAUGAAGAAUACCAGUGGCGAAGGCGGCCUCCUGGAUCUGUACUGACACUGAGGUGCGAAAGCGUGGGUAGCGAACAGGAUUAG
rnacentral:rRNA from 1 species